UACGGGGGGGGGCAAGCGUUGUUCGGAUUUACUGGGGCGUAAAAGGGCGCGUAGGCGGCGCAACAAGUCACUUGUGAAAUCUCCGGGCUUAACCCGGAGCGGCCAAGUGAUACUGUCGUGCUAGAGUGCGGAAGGGGCUACUGGAAUUCUCGGUGUAGCGGUGAAAUGCGUAGAUAUCGAGAGGAACACCUGCGGCGAAGGCGGGUAGCUGGGCCGACACUGACGCUGAGGCGCGAAAGCCAGGGGAGCGAACGGG
rnacentral:rRNA from 1 species